GGUGGAGGAUGAUCGUCAACAUCAGUCGACGGGUCCAUUAUCGCUCCGGGGACUACCACACAGUGAUACAAUGGUAGGUACAAGAGGAGCGAGCUACCCUGCAGAAGGGAUGCGAACUCUCGAAAGCCUAUCUCAUUCGAGUAUUGGAGGCUGAAACCCCGCUCGUCCAUAGAAUUGGAUUCGCAUAAUAAUCGCNCCAUCAANCCAUGGCGCUGGUUGAAUACGUUCCCGGUGUCUUGUACACACCGA
rnacentral:rRNA from 1 species